GUUAGGAAGUGUCCCAAAUUCCUAAUUAGUAUAGAUUCCUUUUUUUGUAAAGAAUAUUAUAUAGAAUAUUUCUAGGUUGAUAUAUUAUUGUAAUAUUAGACUUCCUUAUAGAAUAAGGAAGGUUGUUGGAAAUAUCUCUAUAAAUAUUCUAGGUCAUGAGGGAAAAAAGUUAUGAGAUGGAGAUGGGCCUAUAGAGACUAUACGAGGUGGAUAGAGAUGUGAGGAAGAACGGGAGGUACCUGGUGGAGCGAGAGGGCUCGUAGUAAGGUAUGGAUACAAGGAGUGGGGAAACAUGGGAUGUUUCGGGAACCCAAUAGUUGUAUCUGGUUCUAUCCUCUGUAAUAUUCUUUAUUGUAUAGUGGAAUUAUUCUCUCUCAUCCGUGGACGUAGGCAUGGUUGGCCGAACCACGUUAAAACCUCGUGUACCGUAUGUGUGAUUGUUUUAUCUUUGUGUUCUUGAACUAACAUUGUUGACAUCAAAGCUUUCGUUGGCACAACAACUGGUAUCAGAGCUUGGGUUGAAGAUUUCUGGAAGAGUAAAAGAUCACAAAGCACACAAGAUGAAAACAAAAGGAAUUUUCACUGAAGGUGGAGUCGAUUGCUCUUUCGUGGUGAUAUGAUACAAAAAGGUUUGUGUCAUGGAGAGAUUGAAGAUUAACUUCAUGUAAUUUGGUCCAAGGUGGAGAUUGUUAGGAAGUGUCCCAAAUUCCUAAUUAGUAUAGAUUCCUUUUUUUGUAAAGAAUAUUAUAUAGAAUAUUUUUAGGUUGAUAUAUUAUUGUAAUAUUAGACUUCCUUAUAGAAUAAGGAAGGUUGUUGGAAAUAUCUCUAUAAAUAUUCUAGGUCAUGAGGGGAAAAAGUCAUGAGAUGGAGAUGGACCUAUAGAGACUAUACGAGGUGGAUAGAGAUGUGAGGAAGAACGGGAGGUACCUGGUGGAGCGAGAUGACUCGUAGUAAGGUAUGGAUACAAGGAGUGGGGAAACAUGGGAUGUUUCGGGAACCCAAUAGUUGUAUCUGGUUCUAUCCUCUGUAAUAUUCU
rnacentral:lncRNA from 1 species